UUUUUAUGGAGAGUUUGAUCCUGGCUCAGGAUGAACGCUGGCGGCGUGCCUAAUACAUGCAAGUCGAGCGAACAGACGAGGAGCUUGCUCCUCUGACGUUAGCGGCGGACGGGUGAGUAACACGUGGAUAACCUACCUAUAAGACUGGGAUAACUUCGGGAAACCGGAGCUAAUACCGGAUAAUAUAUUGAACCGCAUGGUUCAAUAGUGAAAGACGGUUUUGCUGUCACUUAUAGAUGGAUCCGCGCCGCAUUAGCUAGUUGGUAAGGUAACGGCUUACCAAGGCAACGAUG
rnacentral:rRNA from 3 species